GAUCAUGGCUCAGAACGAACGCUGGUGGCGUGUCUUAUACAUGCAAGUCGAGCGAGGCAGCAAUGCCGAGCGGCGAACGGGUGAGUAACGCGUAAGCAAUCUGCCCCAUAUCAGGAAAUACCCGUGCCAACGCGCGGUUAAUGUCCAGGAGAGUGGCCCUCUGCAUGGAGGGUUGACUAGAGAUUUAUCGGUAUGGGAUGAGCUUGCGUCCGAUUAGCUAGUUGGCGGGGCAACGGCCCACCAAGGCGACGAUCGGUAGCCGGCCUGAGAGGGUGAUCGGCCACAUUGGGACUGAGAUACGGCCCAGACUCCUACGGGAGGCAGCAGUAGGGAAUAUUGCACAAUGGGGGAAACCCUGAUGCAGCAACGCCACGUGUGGGAAGAAAGCAUUUCGGUGUGUAAACCACUGUCAUGAGGGAAUAAGGCCUGUCUUCGGGCAGGAUUGAAUGUACCUUGAGAGGAAGCACCGGCAAACUUCGUGCCAGCCGCUGC
rnacentral:rRNA from 1 species